GUGCUUACUUCUGCAGCACAUAUACUAAAAUUGGAAUGACACAGAAAUUAGCACGGCCCCUAUGUAAGGAUGGCAUGCAAAUUCGUGAGGUAUUCCAUAUUUUU